CACACCCAUCUGCAGACAAUUGUCCUGGUUAAUGGGAGUCAUCAAGAUUCCAAAGCCCCAUUAAUGGCCCACACUUUGCAUAAUUGCAAUAAGGCCCUCAGAGUUAUCUCUCAGAUUUCUACUUUCAGAUACAAGAGUGAUACAUUUAUACAAAUAGGAUGAUCACACUCAGUAGAUUAUAAGCUUUGUAAUGAUACCUUACAAGAGACCUUAUGUAUGAAACAUAUUCCAGUCACAUUACAUUCACUCAUUAGCAUAUUUUUAUAA